UUGCUUUAUGGACCAAGAAGAAAAAGGUAUAGGCAUAGAGCAAAACAACACUGUAAGUUUGGAGGAGGCAUGAAUGUGGUCUUCAGUAAUUCCAGCGCCUGACCCAUGCACAGAGCACACUGACUUGGGCUGUUAAGUAGCCAGGUCAGAGGGAGUCGAGCCGUUGGAGGUAGGGUUCGUGUUGCUACACUCCUCUGCAAGCAGGCUCAAUAAUAACAGCUCUUGCAUCAGAGGAAGGCUACCCACACAUUUUAGCACUUCCACAGUUCUAACUUAAUCGUGGCAGGAAGCUUUUCCGCUGCUGGGAGAACGAGUUGCGUCACUGGAGACAUCUGACUCCGGGAUCUAGUGUCAAUCACUUUGCCUAAGGUCUCGACAAAUGCUAGGGUGUCUCCUUACAGCAGAAGGGCUUUGCCCAACUGACAAUUAAGAGGAAACACACAGCUCCAUAAAUAAUCGAGAAGGCGGAUUAAAGAAAUACCUUUUCCAGAGCAGAAUGAGAGGAAUGCCUGACACUUCUCAGCCAGGCUUUUUGUCUCCGCUUCACCAUCCACGGGGCUGCGCCCAGUCAAUGGCUCUUUACACUUAGUUUGCCUUCCCCGGUUCUUUAAAGGUCUCUGUAGACACACAAAAAGUUUCUCACCCACAGAAUGAGAGAAGAUUUGGGAAAAGAUGACCUUCCCAAGAGCAGCGUCCAAGGGACACUCGUCAGGGCUUGUCAUUGCACAGAGUAACUCCCCGCCAAGCAGAAUUGUAUUUAAUACUUGGUUUGCUCAUGACAAGCUGUGGAUAGAAUGGCAAGGCCACCUGCCCAGCGGACUUGAGGAAAACUCUCAGACAGCCUGAAGGCCCACAGGUAAAACAUCUGUGACAAACAAUUCUUGUCUCACCUUUUCACCCAGGGUCUGAAACGGGGAUUUCGAGCGUGUCUUCCUCCAGGAGAACAAUUGUAACAAACUGGAAGGUCUCCAGAAUGAGGACAAACUGGUUUACUAUGUCAGUCAUGGGAGCCCAAGAGGUUAUCGAUGCUGCUCCAGGGAAAUGUUUACCAGGAGAAAGCUCUUGGUUCCUUCAGUCAGUAAUUUCUCCCAAACAGAUGCAUUUCCAAUGGGGGGGGGGCAGUGUCAGUAUGGGGUAGGGGAGGAAUGCAGAAGCGGAAAGGUAAAGAAUGGCCAAACACAAAUUUUAAUAGACAAGCCGCCACCCUGGCUUCUAUUUGGAGCACGGUGGUGAUAUUUGAAGCACCCAGUGAAAAUAAAACCCUUGAACUUGGAACCACUGCUACAACAGCAUAUUUUUAAAUGGUUACGAAGGGAGUCUGAGCAUUCAGUAGGGCAGUGGCCAAGAUUCUCGGGCCGCUCCACGGAUGGCACUUGAGAGCCACCCAGCAGGUAGACAACACCUGCUCAGUGAGCUGGGUCAAGAAAAAUCAAGAGGAGAAGCGGAUUAUAACGAAGAUGGGCACAGGUGCCUCUUGGGGGAUUAUCACAGUCUCAAAAACAAACAUGAACUUCACUAGAAGGCAGACUUUCAGAAAAAAACAAAAACACAUGGUUUUCUUCUCUUAAAGAAUUAAGUCAUUAAGGAAACUUCCCAAACAGAAACUGGAACCAGGAGAAUGCAGAGGCGGCAUCAUGAAGCCCGUGAGAUCUAUCCCUGAUUGUGCAGUAGAGCUCAGGGCCAUUGCCGGUGUAACUUCACCCUACCAGCAACUCACUCGCCACUAGAAAAUGUCACUGGAAAUCCCAGCACUCAAGAAGAAAGCGAGGUUGGGUGUCGCUGGCCUGUAGCCCAGAGCUUGAAUCAUAGAAAUGGAUGGAUCUCUGAAGAUUUUCAGCCAGCCAGUCUAGCUGAAUCAAUGUGCUUCAGGUUCAGCGAGGGACUCAGAGAAAGGUGAGGAGUAUCGUCGAGGAAACACACCUGUAGUCAAUCUCUGGUCAACACAUGUAAGCACAUACCCACACUCACAGGUACCUAUCACACACAUACACAUAUGCACGUGUGUGUGAGGAAACAAAUACGAGUGUCAAAAAUUCCCCCAGUAGAAUGUUAUAAAGCUUUUGGGAACGGGAGUUGUGGAAGAAAUUCUGAAAGGCUUCCUGACAAAGGUAUUGGACAGGGUUGUUGAAGCUGAGUCAGCUCUUUAAUGGGUGCAGCUUAAGUAAAAGGGAAGAGAAUUUCUUUGGGAGAAUGAUGUUGGGAAGAUGUUCACAUACACAUACAUACAUACACACACACACAACACAUAUUGAUAGGAGAAGGAUGUGGAUUAAAGUGAAAGUUGAUUGCAUCAAGGGUGUGUUUAAACGCACAAAGUCUAGAACAAGGGUACCAGAAUUCUGACCCUGACCUGAGUGUCCUUGGCAAGUAGCUGAGACCUUAAACUUCAGGGUCUUUGUCUGCAAAAAUGUAGGAUAUGAGCAGUGCCCAUCUGGCUAGUCCACAAGUUACCAGUGCUGUAUGAUGAAGUCUCUUUAGACUGAGCCGGAAAGGUAAGGAGAUUCCAUACCACAAUGACCUGUGUUGGGGGAGGCCAGGGUGCAGUCAUUUUAUCCACCUUCCCUGAGAUGAGCUGACUCCAGGCAGAAGCCCAGAACCUCUCAUGAUAAGCAAGAGAUUCUUCUGGAAGACUCCUAGCGCUGGCAGAACUCCAGAGUUGUGCGUCAACACCAGUCAUGUUGUUAGCCCGGGGAACACAGCUGGGAGCAGCUUUAACUGUUGAUUUUCACCAAGAGCCACCUGCAAGCAAACAGCUGGGGUGGUAGCCCAUAUUCCAUGAAAUUACAACCUGACUGUUCUUUCUGUGUUUAGUCUGUGUGCUCUAUGAGGCAGCGAGCCCUGUCUUCCACAUCUCAGUUCCAGGGCAUGUGUAGUCUGUGCCCUGUGAUGCCAGCUGCCAGCACUAAGGUGGAUUGGCACCUUUGGUUACCUUCCCUUUUCAGGAUAACAUUGUUUCUUUAGAGAAGGGGUGGAGUGAGAGCUGAUACCAAUUUAACGUCUCGCUUCCUGAAAGGCCUGGCAGUAUCUCUCCCGCCUGUGUGACUAGUAAGAAGACAUUCACGAAGGGUUACGUGAUCACAGAAAGAGCCUUGGUUCAACAGAUGAGCCUUUGAGAACCCUCCCAGAGCCCAAAUCCUGAAAGAAUGCUGGCACCUGCUCUCCGAAUGAUUGUCAUACUCAGAGAUUGUUAUGGAUGGUGUCAGGAUUUCCCACACACAAAGCCUGAUAUGCUGGGGUUCUGAAAUGGAGCCAGAAUUAUUCAGAGGAAAAAAAUACAAGGAAGAACAGGGGCUGAAGAGAGGGCUCCACUGCACAGCCUUUCCCACAGAGACGUAACUUGCAUGGAAAUGAGAAGUGGUUACUUCAGGGUAGAGAAGAGGGACCUGGGGAAAUGCUGUAAAAGCCUGAGGACCUGCGUUUCCACCUAGCACAACACAAAGGGGUUACGGGUUAAAAUGACGGACCCCCACUUUCCAGCUAGAGCUCACUGCAUCAGCAGUGGAACACCCACUGUGCUCGGCUGCAAUCUCACCAUCCUGAAUCCUCAGUGAGACUCCAGAAUUACCAGGCCUGCCGCGGUUGCGCAAAAGGCGCUGCUAAGCGUCAAUCCUUCUGUCACCAACAGGAAAAUCCACUUCCAAGUCCAGCUUUGGAAAAUCUGGGCCUGAUCCCAGACUAACUUCCUCUGUGAUAAUUGCUAACAUAACAGCACAACACAGUGACCUUGUAAACGGAGCCCUGAUUUCAGAAAUCCACCUCAGACCCGGAUGCCUCUCCUCUCUAAGCGGGGCUCUUAUUUAUGCAAAUGGCAAAGGCUACGUUUCUGGCCUAAGGCAGACUUUCGUGGCUUUCCUCACUAGAUGAAGUGAGUGAUUUGAACUAUAAACACAUUCAUAAUCUAGCCCAGAAUUCCUCAUGCCCCGGUCUACAUUGCACCUGGAAACCAUUGAAGUGAAAUUGUUCUGAUAAAGCCACUGAGGAGAGACGGGAGUCGGUAAUUAGAGAACUUGGGAUUGGUCGAAUCAAGGUAAGGUGAAAUGAGUCGAAGGGACCCUCAGCUGUCUACUUCAGAAUCAAGGAUUCUCAGUGACUGUGAAGAGGGGAGGGCUGCACAGUUGCAGGGGCUCCUGAGGACAGCCCUUCAGCUCUAUGCCAAUCUCUAUCCAAACAUUAACUAUGGGGAACUGUUCAUCCCUUGUCUCUUCUUCCCUUUAGAUCACAGAUCCCUUGACAUGAGAGUGAGCGUAUUUCCUCACUGGCUAAGAGUUGUUGGUCGGGACAAGUUGCCCAAUAUAUGUAUACCUAAAGGCUUAAUAACUCUUAGGGGACAGAAAUUUUAAGCAUGGAAUUAGGGAUACUUGUGAAAGCCACAGGAAGUUUUUAAACUAGUAUAAUCUGACUGUAAGUUGCUGGCUUCAGUGUCACCUUGUAACAGUCAUAUGUUUUAUUAACAGAUCACUCAGUCGCAUCAGAAACAGAAGAUUUCUGGGCCAGACAUGGUUGAUUCAGCAUUUGGUAGGCCACAGCAAGAGAAUUGCAAGUUUGAGAACCCCUUAGGUUACAUGGUGAGUUCCAGGCCAUAGUGUGCUAUAUGGUAAGAUACAGACUCAAAAGGAAAAGAGAAAAAAAACAACUCAUCGCUAGCUUAACCUACAAAGGGUUCUAAAAAUGUGUAUUUGCAGUCUAAGAAAUAUUCAUCCUGUUCCAAACCCUUCCACUGCCUUGUGAUACAGGGGUCCAGGCCAGAAUGACUCUGUAACCGGGGAUGCUGUUUGACCGCAGCUUUAGGACUAUCCACUGGAGCCUGGUGAACUAGCUAGUUGAUACACAACUGAAGACAAUAGCUGACCACCGCCUAGAAUCCACCAAUAGCCAUUAGUUCAGCUGGGAGGAAGAGGAGAGUAUUCAUGAAGCAUCUUUAGGUGAAAAAUAAAACUGAAGGCCACUAAUAGAUGGACUAUGAUCACAUCUUGAUGGAAAGCAGUACCACUACCCAUAGUGCACACAAUACCAUGGGAUGAGUGCCUCCCACUGAGAGACCAGAGAAGUAACAGUUAUUUAGAAGGGUAUUAAUUAGGCUUUAGAUCCUUGUAUGGUUUUGUAGCAUGAAUAAUAAAAACCCAGAGAGAGAAAUUGGGGUUCAACCUGAAAACCAGAAAAACAAGGGAACCAAGCCACUAGAGAAGUCUCACCUCUACCAAGGCCAGGCGACUGCACACUAAGCCUCUCUCUCCUCCUACUAUACUACCUUCUAAUGCUGGGAUUAAGGGAGUGUGACUCCCUAGGACUGGAAUUCAAGGUGUGAGCCAUCACCACCUGAAUUUCUUUCUGCAUUGAUCGUGUAUAGCCCAGGGUGGCCUUGAACUCACAGAUCCACCUGACUCCGUCUCCCUCUCCCAAAUCCUGGAUUAUGUGUCACCAUUGUCUGACCUCUAGUGGUUUUACCUUUGCCUCUGGUCUUCAGGCAAGAUUUAUCAAAAUCCAAAUAAUAUACCGUGACAUGGUUUAGUUGUUACAACAGGUACAUUAAAAAAAAUUGUCAUUGUAUUAUUAUGAGAAAGAAAGAGA